rnacentral:tRNA from 1 species
AACUAUAAAAUCAUAAAAUGAUGAACUGAAAAUUCAUAUUAAUAACACCUUUAACCU